UUCGGCAACCUACAUCUCAGUGACCAAUCGUAUGUUCUACAGACUGUCAUGUGACACAAAGCCCCGCCCCAUUUGUGGAAUCAUUGAGAGCGCGAGUGGAACUACAGCGAUUCAGCGGUGACCGGCGCAGAUCCAACCAGCUGGAGGAUCCGGAGAGAUUUCUGAGGCGAUACGAACGCUCCUUACGUGGACUGGCUUCCUUUAUUUCUUCUUAAGAUUUUGAAGAAGAGGCUGUGCAGGACAGUAGAAGCUGUUGAAGUUUUGACUGUGGGUUUGUACUCUCCCUCUCACCCACGCUCUGUCUCCAAAAGCUGCAGAGGUUUCGCUGAGAUGGCAAAAACGCGUCGCGACGCAGGAACCGAUAUAAACUGUCAGCCUCCAAGAACACCAACACACGCACAUCUUGUCUUCAUUGGACCUCCAAACAACUCGGCUCAGCGUGGUGAAGGUUCUUCUUGAAGGUUCU
ensembl:lncRNA